UACGAAGGGAGCUAGCGUUGUUCGGAAUUACUGGGCGUAAAGGGCGCGUAGGCGGACAUCUAAGUCAGGGGUGAAAUCCCAGGGCUCAACCCUGGAAUUGCCUUUGAUACUGGACGUCUCGAGUUCGGGAGAGGUGAGUGGAAUUCCGAGUGUAGAGGUGAAAUGCGCAGAUAUCAGGAAGAACACCUAUGGCGAAGGCAGCUCUCUGGGACGGUACUGACGCUGAGACGCGAAAGCGUGGGGAGCGAACAGG
rnacentral:rRNA from 1 species